rnacentral:rRNA from 1 species
UACGUAGGGUGCGAGCGUUGUCCGGAAUUAUUGGGCGUAAAGGGCUCGUAGGCGGUUUGUCGCGUCGGGAGUGAAAUCCACUGGCUUAACUGGUGGCUUGCUUUCGAUACGGGCAGACUGGAGGUAUGCAGGGGAGAACGGAAUUCCUGGUGUAGCGGUGAAAUGCGCAGAUAUCAGGAAGAACACCCGUGGCUAAGGCGGCUCUCUAGUACGGUACUGACGCUGAGACGCGAAAGCGUGGGGAGCGAACGGG